CCCCCAGUAAGGGCGACUGAACGGGGAGGAGCCCAGCGCGGAACCUCGCGCGCCUCACCGGCUGCGUCUGAGGAAUGUCGCGUUCCGGAGGGGCCUUCUCCGACCACACCGACCCCCCCCAAGUCCGCUUGAACGCGGCCACUGCCCAUGGAGGGUGCGAGGCCCGUACGGGGAUUAGGAGUCGGGCGGUCGGACGGCCCCGUCCGUAGAGUCGGGUUGCCUACUAACGCAGCCCAAAGCAGGUGGUAAACUCCAUCUAAGGCUAAAU
rnacentral:rRNA from 2 species